rnacentral:rRNA from 1 species
GAGGCGAACCGGGGGAACUGAAACAUCUAAGUACCCCGAGGAAAAGAAAUCAACCGAGAUUCCGAAAGUAGCGGCGAGCGAAAUUGGACUAGCCCUUAAGCUUUACACGCGUUAGACGAACGGUCUGGAAAGUCCGACGAUACAGGGUGAUAGUCCCGUAGUUGACGACGUGUGUUCAGUGAAAUCGAGUAGGGCGGGACACGUGAUAUCCUGUCUGAAUAUGGGGGGACCAUCCUCCAAGGCUAAAUACUACUGACUGACCGAUAGUGAACCAGUACCGUGAGGGAAAGGCGAAAAGAACCCCUGUGAGGGGAGUGAAAUAGAACCUGAAACCGUGUACGUACAAGCAGUAGGAGCAGGCUUGUCCUGUGACUGCGUACCUUUUGUAUAAUGGGUCAGCGACUUAUAUUCAGUGGCAAGGUUAACCAUCUAGGGGAGCCGUAGGGAAACCGAGUCUUAACUGGGCGUUCAGUCUCUGGAUAUAGACCCGAAACCAGGUGAUCUAGCCAUGGGCAGGUUGAAGGUUGAGUAACAUCAACUGGAGGACCGAACCGACUAAUGUUGAAAAAUUAGCGGAUGACUUGUGGCUAGGGGUGAAAGGCCAAUCAAA